UAAGUGGAAGCUAAUAGUAGCAUUUAUCUGUUACAUAAACCCAUGCUCCCUCAGAGCCCGCUUAG
rnacentral:tRNA from 1 species